rnacentral:rRNA from 1 species
GAUGAACGCUGGCGGCGUGCCUAAUACAUGCAAGUCGAGCGAAUGGAUUAAGAGCUUGCUCUUAUGAAGUUAGCGGUGGACGGGUGAGUAACACGUGGGUAACCUGCCCAUAAGACUGGGAUAACUCCGGGAAACCGGGGCUAAUACCGGAUAACAUUUUGAACUGCAUGGUUCGAAAUUGAAAGGCGGCUUCGGCUGCCACUUAUGGAUGGACCCGCGUCGCAUUACUUAGUGGGUGAGGUAACGGCUCACCAAGGCAACGAUGCGUAACCGACCUGAGAGGGUGAUCGGCCACACUGGGACUGAGACACGACCCAGACUCCUACGGGAGGCAGCAGUAGGGAAUCUUCCGCAAUGGACGAAAGUCUGACGGAGCAACGCCGCGUGAGUGAUGAAGGCUUUCGGGUCGUAAAACUCUGUUGUUAGGGAAGAACAAGUGCUAGUUGAAUAAGCUGGCACCUUGACGGUACCUAACCAGAAAGCCACGGCUAACUACGUGCCAGCCGCCGCCGUAA